rnacentral:rRNA from 1 species
AAUAGAUACCCCGGUAGUCUACGCCGUAAACGAUGGAUACUAGCUGUUUGAGCGCAAGUUUGAGUGGCUAAGCGAAAGUGAUAAGUAUCCCACCUGGGGAGUACGGGCGCAAGCCUGAAACUCAAAGGAAUUGACGGGGGCCCGCACAAGCGGUGGAGCAUGUGGUUUAAUUCGAUGAUACGCGAGGAACCUUACCAGGGCUUAAAUGUAGAUUGACGUAUUUGGAAACAGAUAUUUCUUCGGACAAUUUACAAGGUGCUGCAUGGUUGUCGUCAGCUCGUGCCGUGAGGUGUCAGGUUAAGUCCUAUAACGAGCGCAACCCCUGUUGUUAGUUGCCAGCGAGUAAUGUCGGGAACUCUAGCAAGACUGCCAGUGUAAACUGUGAGGAAGGUGGGGAUGACGUCAAAUCAUCACGGCCCUUACGUCCUGGGCCACACACGUGCUACAAUGGCCGGUACAGAGAGCAGCCACUUAGCGAUAAGGAGCGAAUCUAUAAAGCCGGUCACAGUUCGGAUCGGAGU